GCAGUAGCCGCGGGAAUACAGAGGGUGCGAGCGUUAAUCGGAUUUACUGGGCGUAAAGCGUGCGUAGGCGGCUAAUUGAGUCGGAUGUGAAAUCCCCGAGCUUAACUUGGGAAUUGCAUUCGAUACUGGUUAGCUAGAGUGUGGGAGAGGAUGGUAGAAUUCCAGGUGUAGCGGUGAAAUGCGUAGAGAUCUGGAGGAAUACCGGUGGCGAAGGCGGCCCCCUGGACAAAGACUGACGCUCAGGUGCGAAAGCGUGGGGAGCAAACAGGAUUAGAGACCCCUGUAGUCCCUGUCUCUUAUAC
rnacentral:rRNA from 1 species